ACAACUGAACAAAUCUUUGACCUAUGUGCCAAUGCUUCAUGGAAAUAUCAUAUCCAGUAGCUUUGGCACACUUUAUACUUUGGGUAGCAUGAAACCUGGUAUCAUAUAUGUGUGCAAUAUAUGACAUAAGAAGAUCCUAUCACUUUUAGAUAUCAGUUUAUUUAGUUACAUCAAUAAUUUAGGUUUGUAAAACUAGUGUAUCACAUAUUUGAGUUCUGAGGCAAGUCAGCCCCACUGUGUUAUCCAAAUUUCAGACUCAAAUUUCAGACUCACUGAAUUAGUACAUUUGGCAAAAUACUCUACACUGCAAAUACUUUUUGUAACAUAUCUGACAUGAGAACUCAAAGGACAGUGAAUGUAGUUCAUUGACAGGAGAGUAAUUCCUUAAGAACCCUGAGACCUUGGGCUUAUUUGUGAGAUAUAUAUAUCUCACAAAUACAUAUAUAUAUAUGUAUUCUCUUAACCCAAAGAAUAUAUUUGUAUUAAUUUCUAUUCCAAUUGUUGUUCCAAAAUUACUGACAAAACAGUUUAAGAAUGAAAAGGCAUAUCUUAGCUCACAGUUACAGGAUAGGGUAAUUAUGGAGUAAGAGGCAACUGUCAAUAUUGUAUCCACAGUCAUGAAGCAAAGAGUAAUGACUACAGAUGAUCAAGUACUGAUUGAUGUUGGUUGUAAGUGACCCAGAAGACAAAGAAGUUCACCAAGAUGAUAAGCCUUUAUUUUCUGAAGGAGCAGAAGGAUAUAUCCUCUUGAGGAAGACAGAUCCCCAGCUGGCUCACUCUAGGAGGGAGAUGAAGAAAAGUCAGGAGCAAGAGAAGUCAAUAGUGUGAAUAUAAAAAAGGAGACUAUGGACACACAUGAAAAUGCCAUAGUGAGAUU
rnacentral:lncRNA from 1 species